ensembl:lncRNA
GUUUGAGGGAGCUGGAUGAGCAGACCUUUACACACAGUCAGUGACUUUAAGCUUUAUUUAAGCUUUAAUUUAUCCUGAUUUAGUCAUUGUUUAAACUUAGGUUCUGUUUUGUAUUUAAAAUACCAACAAGCUCAGGCAUUUAGAAAAACGAAGAAACAGAUCAGCAGGAGUAGAUACCGCAGAAAUGUCUGCAGUAACUUUGUCGCCCUUCUCGACUAUCCUGUUUUUUGGCAUUUUAAUGUUUGUCUCUGCAGAGCAUAAAGUCAUCACAGCUGACUCUGGACAGGAUGUCACUGUGCCAUGUCAAGCUCCAAACGACAACAACAACUUAGUUGUCGUUUGGGACAGAGCUGAACUGAAGUCAGAAUAUGUCCUUUUAUACCAGGAUGAGUUGAUUGUUCCAGACAACCAGCAUCCAUCUUUUGUGAAUCGGACAGAUCUGCAGGACAGACAGAUGAAGGAUGGAGACGUGUCUUUGAUUCUGAAGGAUGUGAAUACUGAUGACACUGGAAUGUACGAGUGUUAUGUCAUCCGGGGAUUCAGAAAACAUACGAUUCUUAUCGGCAAAAUCUACCUUUAUGUUGUUCCUCCAGGUCACACAGGAGGAGACACAGAGGAUGGAUCUCUUAGACUGAUCCUUCACCUGUCAGUUCCUGCUGUGGUUCUGGUGUUAAUUAUCCUUAAACUACAGAAACAUUGUGUGAUAUUUUGGAAGCUGUGAUCCAUUCUUGCACGGGGUGGGGGCCAAUGUUCCCUCUAAGCUGCACACGUGCGCAAUUGCGCACUGCUGGCACGGUCUCUGCGCACAAAAAAUCUGCGUUGCGCACAAAAAAAAUCUAACCUGAACUGAAAUUAAAAUUAAUACUUUAACAAUUCUGUUUUGCAGUGUUAGUCAGUGAGUGACUGGCUGCUCCCGUAUGGGAUUAGAAUGAUGCCACCUUAUCCAACAGUCCAGCCAAUAACGCGAUUCACAUUCGUAUAUACGCAGCCAACCAACGUCACUGACAGGCUAUGACAGCGUCCUUAUGUGCCGACACCGGUGUUUUAGCUGGCAAAGCGGUGUGGCUGAUGUGAAGUUAAUGACAAUGUGUACAACCAUUGGAGAGGUGAGAAGGACAGAUGGAAAAAUUGAAAAAGGGAAACGUGUGGACUUUAUACCAGUUUUUUAAAUUGUGCUGAUAGGGCACGUAAAACCAGAGUUGAUAAAAAUAUCUUCAAUGUUUGGUUUUCUUCCUGAAUGCGAUCGUUGUUUAUAUUUACUGCGGGAAGAAACGGUAAAAAUGCCGUUUUAUAAGGAAAAAUGCUCAAAAGCGCUCUCCACCUGUGAGCAAAAACAAACCCCACCCCCCUGUCCCUUUCCUAUUCCUCCAAAAAAGUACCAUGUCGACCAAUCAAAAAAUGAUAUGGCAACGCGGCAUCUAGUUGUUAAGAAACGGGGGGGAGAGUUUUAGGAGUGACGGCAGUGUUUUGAGAUGUGAGAGAUUUGAGACGUUUAGUGCAAAUCUUGUGUAGUUAGUGUGUAGUGUAGUCAAUAGUUUUGUUGUGUGUGUCAGAACAAUGAGGCGACUGCUGAAUGUUACAGGUGUUACAGCAGUGAUACAUCUCCUGCUGUGUGGCCUGCAGAUAUCAGGCUGUUGUUCUCCUUUAUCUCAUAGUGGACAGAAAUAAUUUUUGGAGAGGCACAAAUAAUUUUUGUGGCAUCAGAUUUGAUGCAGAACAGCUGAUUGUUCUGUAAAUAGUUUGAAAUGUUUAUUUAAAAAACGCCUUGGCUGCAUUUAAAAAAAUAGCUGCAAAAACUUUGUUGUUUGCCAAACUCAGUUACUUUUUUGAAGAAGUAACUAUAUAAUUAAUUGCCCGACUGUUACGUCCCUCUGCAUCCCCUAAUCUCCUCAAUGUUUUCAGCUGGUGCUAAUUGGCCACACCUAGUCAGGUGUGGAUAAAAGCAUACCUGAGGCAAGCUUCCCAGGGAGCUCACUUGUCUUUGCCUUGGUGGCACCAGCCAUUUUAGCGAACCUGUUGUGCCAUUUUAAGUUAAAAGCCUCUUCUCAUCUACACUCUAUUCGUCUCCUUUUUUUAUGUUGCGGCUUUUGAGCCGGGGCGUAACAUAAGUGGGGGCUCAUCCGGGAUUGUUUGGAUGUUUCUUGGGGACUGAAUAUCAGGUUUUUUGUAUUUCUUUAAGUGGGUGAGUGAAGGUGUUCACUGUGAUUGAGCAACGUCCCUUUAGUUAGUGUGUUUCAGCUGGGUGGCUGUGCUGCCCUUCCAUCGAAGCACUUGUUUGUUGUUUUGCUUUGUUGUUUUAGUUUUUUGUGUUUGGUGGUUAUCCUGGGUGGGGUUACGCUUCAGGGUUUGGUGGGAGACUGUACCCCUGGUCUGCUGCCUACCCUUGAGUUUGCGUUUAAAGAUGCCUCGAGCCCGGUACACCAAUGAAGACUAGACAGGUAAAGUUUUAUUGGGUUUUUUUAGCGUUUUAGGCUGGGAGUUGCUCAAAGUGAAUUAGUGGCACCAAACUUGGCAGGAGGUUAAGACAUGGUCUUGUAGCUGAGGCGGGUAGGUUGUUUUUAAGUUGGCAUAGUGUGUACACUGUGUGUGAAUAUGUCAGUGUUGAUGGAUGCUAAUAAGAUCCUUGUGAGGUGAGUGUUUUGUGCUGUGACCUUUAGUGUUGUGGGGAAUAUGACUACACAGGUCAAUGACUAGAUUUUUUAAAAAUUUCAUUGUAAGUGGGCUAAAGCAGUUAUUUAAAAGUAGUCCAACAUAAAUGUAAAUGUUGUAAUAAACCAUGUAACUUGGAUGGAUUAGAUGCUGGCGUGACCACAGUGCACACGUCUGAUGUUGCUCACAGUGGUCCAAGGGAUCGCUCAGGGAGUUUGUGUGUUCGCUCAGACACAUGAAAAAUUAGAGGGAACAUUGGUGGGGGCUGAUCAGGCAGAUUUUAUUCACUGUAAGUACAAAUGUAAUAUAAAAUCAUAUACUGGAUAUCAUAUGUAUACCAUGUGAUAUCACAUGUCAAACACCUCUGUCUACAUAGAUAGACAGAGGUGUUUGAAUAUAAUACCAAAGGAAACUCCUUUUGUCUUUUGCUUUUCUUUGAAGUGUGUUAAAACUCUCUUUUUUAAGUGUUGUCUAGGGAAAGGGAAUGAGCUGCCUAGUGCAUUAGAAACAUACUGCCAUAGAAAGGUUUUACAAGGCUGUAUCUAUUAAACACCAAAUUGUGUAAAUUAUGUUCUAG